rnacentral:snRNA from 1 species
AGCUUGGCACAGUGGCAGAAUCAUAGACAAUGGGGUUUAUCUGAGGCAUGAUUAUUGCUAAUUGAAAACUUUUCCCAAUUACCCCAUGAUGACGACUUGGAAAGUGGCCCUAGGGGAAAAAUAAUGAAUUUAGAAACCAAAAGUCUUUUU